GGGCACAUGGUGUAGUUGGUUAUCACAUCCGCUUAGCAUCACUUAUGAGCUUGCGGGGGGUGCUGGGUUCAAUUCCCAGUGUGUCCA